UCAAACUUGGUCAUUUAGAGGAAGUAAAAGUCGUAACAAGGUUUCCGUAGGUGAACCUGCGGAAGGAUCAUUAAUGAAGAAAUGAUAAGAGCUGAGCUGACUUCUUGAAGUAUGUGCUCGUGCUUAUCGCUUUUUCUCUUCUCCCUUGUGAACCUUUUGUAGACUUUUUUUAAUAUGAUGUUGGCUUUCUUAUCUUAUAGGAAAGUUUCACGGAGGACUUGCAUUCGACGCCUGGCGUUGAGUGCUUGACUUUAACUACUUAUCAUAUUAAUUCAAGUCUAUGAUUUUACAUUUACUCUUAAGUUUAUGAAUGCUUUCUUUUGUUGGUUAUUUAACCGAUAAAUUGUUAUACAACUUUCAGCAACGGAUCUCUUGGCUCUCGCAUCGAUGAAGAACGCAGC
rnacentral:misc_RNA from 1 species